rnacentral:lncRNA from 1 species
UCCAUUUAUCACGUCUUCGUUGAUCAGUCCCCGGUACUUUCAAAUAUGGUGCACAACGCCGUUGUCAACUCCUUCGCUGGUGGGAUACCUCAAGGAUACAGGGGACCGGCAUAUUUUCAGCCAAUUCCACCAAACUAGAAUUAUUCGAAUUCGGUUUCACAGCCGAUCCAAUUUUCUGUCGGGGGUUCAGGUGCUUCCUCAUCAUCAGCUCCUAUGGGGUAUAACUCCAUCCAACUGUCUUCUGCACCAUUCCCUCCAGUUAGCCCAUCACCUUGGGGGCACCUUCAGCCACGGUCGGUCAGAAUCAAUCGGCCAGUCAAGGAAGC